rnacentral:lncRNA from 1 species
CCCAUGUCUAAACAUUGCAGCUAUAGCAACAUGCAGGCCCAGGUGCUAAAUCACCUGGUUGGGAAGACAGAAACCAUCUCACAUUGCAUCUAAGAACUCUGACCUGAAUGACAUUUUCCAGGAAGUAGGGAUACACACCUACCUACCGAGAGACCUCCAAACAGAGACAUCAACACAGAAACCUCCGCAGAGAUAACCAGAUCUCCAUAUGCAAACCCAUGUAAAAAGAAACCUAGAGAAACAGAUGCCCAGAUGAAGAGGGGUUUCCAGACAGAUUCUUGGCUGACGUUUCUGUCAGUGGUGUGAAAGGACAUUUACCCAGAUUCUAUAGAUAUUUUGGUUAUGCACUCAACAAACCUACAAUGAAACUACCAGAAUACAAAAGCAAUUGUGAACUCCAGAGAGUGCUAGAAAACAUUAUGGAAGAGGGUAUAGUUUAUGUUAAUUAUAGAGGACUAAAGAGAUGUAGAAUAGGAGAGCUGAAAAAGCCUCCACUUCCAGUGGCUCUUAGAGUGUAAUUAGUCCAAGGGACAGCAAGCUGCCUUCUAGCAGAAUCGUUGUGAUCCCAAAGCCCACAUGACUGGGGCCUCUCUCUGGUCCUUUAUACAGUAAUUAAUAUUUAAAAGAUCUCGCUAAAGCCCUGUCAAGUCCUGAAGCAAGAUUUUGAAAAAUAAAAAAACUCAUAAAACACAAAAUAGAACAAAACAAUGAGCUCUGAGUUUGCUUUGUUGAAAGCAAUGGGUUGAAUUGUGUCUCCCCAUAAUAUGUAUUUUGAAGUCCU